rnacentral:rRNA from 1 species
UACGUAGGGUGCGAGCGUUGUCCGGAAUUAUUGGGCGUAAAGGGCUCGUAGGCGGUUUGUCGCGUCGGGAGUGAAAUCCACUGGCUUAACUGGUGGCUUGCUUUCGGGUACGGGCGGGCUAGAGUAUGGCAGGGGGAGACUGGGAAUUCCUGGUGUAGCGGUGGAAUGCGCAGAUAUCAGGAGGAACACCGGUGGCGAAGGCAGCUCGCUGGGACGUGACUGACGCUGAGACGCGAAAGCGUGGGGAGCAAACAGG